UACGUAGGGUGCGAGCGUUGUCCGGAAUUAUUGGGCGUAAAGGGCGCGUAGGCGGCUUCUCAAGCGUGUGGUGAAAGUCCGGGGCUCAACCCCGGAUCGGCCGUGCGGACUGGGGAGCUCGAGUUCUGUAGAGGCGGGUGGAAUUCCGGGUGUAGCGGUGGAAUGCGUAGAGAUCCGGAAGAACACCGGUGGCGAAGGCGGCCCGCUGGGCAGAGACUGACGCUGAGGCGCGACAGCGUGGGGAGCAAACAGG
rnacentral:rRNA from 1 species